UGGGGAAUAUUGCGCAAUGGGCGAAAGCCUGACGCAGCGACGCCGCGUGGGGGAUGAAGCUUUUCGGAGUGUAAACCCCUUUCGACCCGGACGAAUGACCCGCAAGGGUUUGACGGUACGGGUAUAAGAAGCCCCGGCUAACUACGUGCCAGCAGCCGCGGUAAUACGUAGGGGGCCAGCGUUGCUCGGAAUUACUGGGCGUAAAGGGUUCGUAGGUGGUGCGACAAGUUGGGAGUGAAAUCUCUGGGCUUAACUCAGAGGCUGCUUUCAAAACUGCCGCGCUCGAGUGCGAGAGAGGUCAGUGGAAUUGCAGGUGUAGCGGUGAAAUGCGUAGAUAUCUGCAGGAACACCCGUGGCGAAGGCGGCUGACUGGAUCGCAACUGACACUGAGGAACGAAAGCUAGGGGAGCAAACAG
rnacentral:rRNA from 1 species